ACAAACGACUCUCGGCAACGGAUAUCUCGGCUCACGCAUCGAUGAAGGAACCGUAGCAAAAUGCGAUACUUGGUGUGAAUUGCAGAAUCCCGUGAACCAUCGAGUUUUUGAACGCAAGUUGCGCCCGAAGCCAUCCGGUCGAGGGCACGUCUGCCUGGGCGUCACG
rnacentral:rRNA from 1 species